rnacentral:rRNA from 1 species
ACGAACGCUGGCGGCGUGCUUAACACAUGCAAGUCGAACGAGGUCCAUCGGUAGCUUGCUACCGUGAAGACCUAGUGGCGAACGGGUGAGUAACGCGUGGGCAACCUGCCCUGGAGAUUGGGAUAACUGGUGGAAACACCAGCUAAUACCGAAUAUCGUUGUAUUGUCGCAUGGCAUAACAACGAAAUGUUCCGGCGCUCCAGGAUGGGCCCGCGUCCCAUUAGCUUGUUGGUAGGGUAACGGCCUACCAAGGCAACGAUGGGUAGCCGGCCUGAGAGGGUGAACGGCCACACUGGGACUGAGACACGGCCCAGACUCCUACGGGAGGCAGCAGUAGGGAAUCUUCCGCAAUGGACGCAAGUCUGACGGAGCAACGCCGCGUGAGUGAUGAAGGUCUUCGGAUCGUAAAGCUCUGUUGCCAGGGAAGAAUGCCGCGGGGAGUAACUGCCCUGCGGAUGACGGUACCUGAGAAGAAAGCCCCGGCUAACUACGUG